ensembl:lincRNA
UAAUAUUUCAGGUCAGUGGUUCUUGUGUGGAGUUCUCCCUCUGAAUGUACUUAUUUUCAUUACAGACAAUUUCCAGGGAUUCACUGAUGGAGAAUCAACCAACCCCAGUGGAGAGGGUCCACAGAGCAUCUGAAGGGAUGACCACAUUUUUCUCGUGAGAACUGGUUGGAAGCGCAUUCAAUUUUUCACCUCAUAAAACCAUCCACCACUCUUCAUCUUAUGACAAAGCAUGACAAAGAAGAUUUGGACCUGAAAGUUUUCAAGAGUACCAGCGUGCUUAGAGGACUUAGAGAUCAGGGAAGAGGCUGGAGCCAGAAAGUGGCAGAUAUAAUCCAGAUUUCUAAAGCUAUGGGCAAGGUGAAGUCGACCAGCCAAAGUCCAGCUUGGCCAAACGGAUGUGGACCAGCAACAGAAAAACAACUGUUCGGCUUUUUGCUCAAGUGGCAACGCGCUUGCCCACCCACCAGGGCGCGGGAGUGUUGCUCCGGUCCUUGGCCUGAGACCAGCCGAGGGGGAGCCGGGAGACUUCAAGAGUGUCUCGCAGCCCCCAGCCAGCAGCUCGUCCUCCUCCCAGCCCCCUCCUCACCACGUCGCUACUCCCGCAGGGACUACAUCCUAUGCACCGGCCCGGCCCUCUGCUUCGCGCGCGGGGUAAAGAGCGCGACAGUUAAAACCGUUACCACCUCCUAGUUUUGAACUGGUUCAAACUUGGCUUUCAGCUCCCGCCCCUCCCCCUCUCGGCCCCGGGAACUCCGAGGCGGCGGUUCCCGCCAAAGGCAGGGAGCGUGGUCCCGCCCCCCGGCAGGGUUCCCGCCACCCCCACUCCCACCUCCACCCCCACCCCGUUUCCAGCUCUUAGCUCGCAGGUUGCGCUUCUGGCUUCCACAAAACUCCCCACGUCCCGGCCUGUCUGCCCACCGCCUUCUUGAUAGGUACCGUGUGUUUGACGAAAGAACAAAGAGACGGCGACAGCGGCACUUGCACACUGCAAUCCCCGUCCCUCAGACCGAGCCCUACACCACUGCGCGCACGCGCCGGCCCGCGCCCGGGUGUAAGUCCUGAAUGUGCCUCUGUGCGUGGGUCUCCCCUCCGCGCCUCCGAGCCCGGCUGUCCCUGUGAUUGGACGGGAGCCUGCCUCUCAUCCCGCCAAUCGGGGCGGCGCUUGAUUGGAGUGGGGGGGCCAAAUAAAAGCGAUGGCGAUUGGGCUGUCGGGUUUGGCGCUCGGUCCGGUAGCGUCCGACACCCACUGGGACACAGAAGGCAGUGGAGAACCGGCAGCGGCGGUGGCGCGCGGAAACGGCGCGCGGGAGCAACGCGGGCUGGGGCGAGGGACUAAGGUAACGCACAGCUGUCGGUUGGUACUAGCUGGCUGAGCUCUGGGAGUCCCACUGUGGGCGGCGGCGGCGGCGACAGGACAUCACCGCCGCUUCUCUGCCUGUCUGGGCAUAGCCGAUAUUGGGGUUCACCCGGGGGCACCGGUUUUGUUUGUGGUGGGGGGUGAAGAGAAGUCCCUUGUAAAGGGGUCGCGAGGUCUGGACUGGCCCGAGCGGCCCACGAGUGGGGCAGUAACGGACCCCCCGGAGAUCCGAGGCGGGAGUAGGGGCGGGUGUUCGCUGGGG